UACGGAGGGGACUAGCGUUGUUCGGAAUUACUGGGCGUAAAGCGCACGUAGGCGGGUCGUUAAGUCGAGGGUGAAAUCCUGGAGCUCAACUCCAGAACUGCCUUCGAUACUGGCGACCUAGAGUCCGGAAGAGGUGAGUGGAACUCCUAGUGUAGAGGUGGAAUUCGUAGAUAUUAGGAAGAACACCAGUGGCGAAGGCGGCUCACUGGUCCGGUACUGACGCUGAGGUGCGAAAGCUAGGGGAGCGAACAGG
rnacentral:rRNA from 1 species